rnacentral:rRNA from 1 species
UGAGGAAUUUUCUGCAAUGGGCGCAAGCCUGACAGAGCAAUAUCGCGUGAAGGAGGAAGGCCCUUGGGUUGUAAACUUCUUUUCUCAAGGAGGAAGUCCUGACGUUACUUGAGGAAUAAGUAUCGGCUAACCCUGUGCCAGCAGCCGCGGUAAUACAGGGGAUGCAAGCGUUAUCCGGAAUCAUUGGGCGUAAAGAGUUUGUAGGUGGAUUCAUAAGUCUUUUGUUAAAUCUUUAAGCUUAACUUAAAUUCUGCAAAAGAAACUGUGUCUCUAGAGUUUGAUAGGGGUUAAGGGAAUUUCCAGUGGAGCGGUGAAAUGCGUAAAGAUUGGAAAGAACACCAAAAGCGAAGGCACUUGACUGGGUCAACACUGACACUGAGAAACGAAAGCUAAGGGAGCAAAUAGG